rnacentral:rRNA from 1 species
UCCUACGGGAGGCAGCAGUGGGGAAUAUUGCACAAUGGGCGCAAGCCUGAUGCAGCAACGCCGCGUGAGGGACGAAGGCCUUCGGGUUGUAAACCUCUUUUAGUAGGGAAGAAGCGACUGGGUUUUCCUGGGAGUGACGGUACCUGCAGAAAAAGCACCGGCUAACUACGUGCCAGCAGCCGCGGUAAUACGUAGGGCGCAAGCGUUGUCCGGAAUUAUUGGGCGUAAAGAGCUCGUAGGCGGUUUGUCGCGUCUGCUGUGAAAACCCGAGGCUCAACCUCGGGCCUGCAGUGGGUACGGGCAGACUAGAGUGCGGUAGGGGAGAUUGGAAUUCCUGGUGUAGCGGUGGAAUGCGCAGAUAUCAGGAGGAACACCAAUGGCGAAGGCAGAUCUCUGGGCCGUAACUGACGCUGAGGAGCGAAAGCAUGGGGAGCGAACAGGAUUAGAUACCCUGGUAGUCCAUGCCGUAAACGUUGGGAACUAGAUGUGGGGACCACUCCACGGUCUCCGUGUCGCAGCUAACGCAUUAAGUUCCCCGCCUGGGGAGUACGGCCGCAAGGCUAAAACUCAAAGGAAUUGACGGGGGCCCGCACAAGCGGCGGAGCAUGCGGAUUAAUUCGAUGCAACGCGAAGAACCUUACCAAGGCUUGACAUAUACCGGAAACGGCUGGAAACAGUCGCCCCGCAAGGUCGGUAUACAGGUGGUGCAUGGUUGUCGUCAGCUCGUGUCGUGAGAUGUUGGGUUAAGUCCCGCAACGAGCGCAACCCUCGUCCUAUGUUGCCAGCACGUAAUGGUGGGAACUCAUGGGAUACUGCCGGGGUCAACUCGGAGGAAGGUGGGGAUGACGUCAAAUCAUCAUGCCCCUUAUGUCUUGGGCUUCACGCAUGCUACAAUGGCCGGUACAAAGGGCUGCGAUACCGCAAGGUGGAGCGAAUCCCAAAAAGCCGGUCUCAGUUCGGAUUGAGGUCUGCAACUCGACCUCAUGAAGUCGGAGUCGCUAGUAAUCGCAGAUCAGCAACGCUGCGGUGAAUACGUUCCCGGGCCUUGUACACACCGCC